AUUUAUGGUUUUCCCUGCCCUUUAAUUAUUAAUAAGUAUCUAAUGGGGUAAUACUUUGAGAUGUCAAUAUCCUGUUCCUCAUCAAACUUUCAAUUUAUUAAUCUAUGUCAGUAUAGACUCAUGCUUUUAUAUUGUAUUCAGUAAAUUAUAAUUCAUAACUGUCAUUAUUUUUUGAUGUUUAAUUUGUUCCAGAUUUAACCAGUGGAACUUCUUCAGGCUGGCUCCAUGGUCUUUUGACAGGUCCCUAUCAUUCUUGUGGCACUUCUUCUAUCCUCUGACACAAAAUGUCCCAGGCUGUUAAUAAACCCAUGAGACCUGACUACUGGUUGCGCCUUCAAGUUGGUUCCUGAAUCCUUUAGACAAGCCCCUUCCACAAGAUAUCCCAGGCUCAGAUCUCUGCCCCAGGUCUGCAAUUUCUCCAAGGAGCACUGACUCCUUCCUUUGAAGAAUUGUAUUUAGAAACCAAGAUCUAGCCCCUCCUCUCCAUGCCGCUCAGCUUCUUCCUUCAGAACCCAGCUCGAUACAGCCUUCUACAUCUCUCCCUCUUGUCUGAACUUGGAACUUGCAUCAGUAUUGGUGUGGAGCCAUUCAUCGGAGCCAGGCUGCAGAGGUGCUCCAAACAGAACAGGAUUUAUCUUUCAGGUAUCUUCCCAUGAUGUGAAAUGAUAGUGCACGCAAUCACCCAGCGGAACAGUUUUGUGAUGAGAAAGAAUUUCACCACUUCCAAGGCCAUCGGCAGGUUUUUUCCACCACCUCCAAGGCCAUCAGCAGGUUAAUGGUUCAAUGGCACAUCCAGCCCUCAUGGCCAGAUAAACAGAACCUACACAAACAUCCACCAUCUGUGGAGCAAAAUCAACAACACAGGGCAUAGAACUGGAGAGUAUGCUCGUGUUCCUGCUCUCUGUGCUCCUGCUCUGUCGCUAAGUCAGGUCUGACUCUUCGUAACCCCAUGGACUGUAGCCCGCCAGGCUCCUCUGUCCAUGGAAUUCUCCAGG